CUUGGAAAUUGAAUUACUAGAGUAUCGGAGAGGUGAAUGGAAUUCUUGGAGUAGCGGUGGAAUGCGUAGAUAUCAAGAAGAACACCAAAAGCGAAGGCAGUUCACUGGCCGAUUACUGACCCUCAUGGACGAAAGCGUGGGUAGCGAAAAGGAUUAGAUACCCUUGUAGUCCACGCUGUAAACGUUGUGUACUAGGUGUAGGAGGAUUUUACCCCUUCUGUGCUUGAGCUAACGCCGUAAGUACACCGCCUGGGGACUACGGCCGCAAGGCUAAAACUCAAAGGAGUUGACGGGGACCCGCACAAGCGGUGGAGCAUGUGGCUUAAUUCGAGGCAACGCGAAGAACCUUACCUGGACUUGACAUCUAGUGACCGUCUAUGAAAGUAGAUUUCCCUUCGGGGCACAAAGACAGGUGCUGCAUGGCUGUCGUCAGCUCGUGCCGUGAGGUGUUCGGUUAAGUCCGGCAACGAGCGCAACCCACGAUAUUAGUUACCAUCAGGUGAUGCUGGGGACUCUAAUAUGACUGCCCGUGUAAGCGGGAGGAAGGCGUGGACGACGUCAAGUCAGUAUGGCCCUUAUGUCCAGGGCUGCACACGUGCUACAAUGGCCAGUACAAUGGGCUGCAAAACUGUGAGGUUGAGCAAAUCCUUAAAACUGGUCUUAGUUUGGAUUGUAGUCUGCAACUCGACUACAUGAAGUUGGAAUCGCUAGUAAAGGCGUAUCAGCUACGACGCCUUGAAUACGUUCCCGGGUCUUGUACACACCGCCCGUCACAUCAUGGAAGCCUGUUGCACCCGAAGUCGUUGAUCUAACCUGCAAAGGAAGUAGACGCCGAAGGUGUGGCCGGUAACUAGGAUGAAGUCGUAACAAGGUA
rnacentral:rRNA from 1 species